rnacentral:tRNA from 1 species
UGUAGCUCAGUGGUAAGAGCGCUUGCCUAGCAUGUGUGAGGCCCUGGGUUCAAUUCUCAGCA